UCUCCGUUGGUGAACCAGCGGAGGGAUCAUUACCGAGUUUACAAACUCCCAAACCCUUUGUGAACCUUACCAUAUUGUUGCUUCGGCGGGACCGCCCCGGCGCCUUCGGGCCCGGAACCAGGCGCCCGCCGGAGGCCCCAAAAAACCAUCGCUUUCAGUACCGGCCUCUCUGAGUUACUGUACUUUUAAUUAAGUCAAAACUUUCAACAACGGAUCUCUUGGUUCUG
rnacentral:misc_RNA from 1 species